GUCUACAGCCAUACCACCCUGAAUGUGCCUGAUCUCGUCUGAUCUCAGAAACUAAGCAGGGUGAGACCUGGUUAGUACUUGGACGGGAGAAGUGAAAUUAAAUAUGUUAAAAAUG
ensembl:rRNA 5S_rRNA 5S ribosomal RNA